CGGGGCCCAACACCAGGGGAAGCUGUACCCUGGUGGUAAGGACUAGAGGUUAGAGGAGACCCCCCGCACAAC
rfam:Dengue virus type 1 clone WestPac, complete genome.